UGUGGUCACCAGCUAUGUUCUCUCCAGGCACAAAGGUGGACGCAGACCAAGCAGACGCUUGAUCAGCAGCUAUCCAAGCCAGAAGCCAGCUGGACCUGCCCAGCGCCUCCGCCCACGCGCUCCCGCAGGGCCUGUCCCUUUACCAGUGAAGCAUAAGGAUUGGACGCAGAUGUGAAAAGCAGGCUAGGAUUCUACCCUUCUUUGUCUCCCCAGAAAGCUUCUGGAACAUCCCAUCAGCAUAAAAACAUCUCCUUUGACAGCCACUGGCCUUGGCUCUCACAUGAUGGCUUAGACCUCCACGGUGCACGGCCCCAUCACCAGUGCCAUCAGCAAUGAUCCAGCCACAAGAUCACCAUGACUGCGAGCGUGAAUGAGCACCUGCAAAGGUGCUGACGAGGCUGCAGUAAAGACUCAGCCCCUGGGGAGGCCACGGCACUCACCUUGCAU